AUUCGGGGGGGCCCGCACAAGCGGUGGAGCGUGGGUGAAAUUCGAAAGCACGCGAAGAACCUUACCAGGUCUUGACAUCAUUUGCCACUUCUAGAGUUAGAAGGUUCCCCUUCGGGGGACAAAGUGACAGGUGGUGCAUGGUUGUCGUCAGCUCGUGUCGUGAGAUGGUGGGUUAAGUGCCGCAACGAGCGCAACCCUUGAUCUUAGUUGGCAGCAUUCAGUUGGGCACUCUAAGGUGACUGCCGGUGACAAACCGGAGGAAGGUGGGGAUGACGUCAAAUCAUCAUGCCCCUUAUGACCUGGGCUACACACGUGCUACAAUGGAUGGUACAAAGGGCUGCGAGACCGCGAGGUUUAGCCAAUCCCAUAAAACCAUUCUCAGUUCGGAUUGCAGGCUGCAACUCGCCUGCAUGAAGCUGGAAUCGCUAGUAAUCGCGGAUCAGCAUGCCGCGGUGAAUACGUUCCCGGGCCUUGUACACACCGCCCGUCACACCACGAGAGUUUGCAACACCCGAAGUCGGUGGGGAACCGCAAGGAGCCAGCCGCCAAGUGUAGC
rnacentral:rRNA from 1 species